UACGAAGGGUGCUAGCGUUGUUCGGAAUCACUGGGCGUAAAGGGCGCGUAGGCGGCUUUAUAAGUCGGGGGUGAAAGCCUGUGGCUCAACCACAGAAUUGCCUUCGAUACUGUAGAGCUUGAGACCGGAAGAGGUAAGUGGAACUGCGAGUGUAGAGGUGAAAUUCGUAGAUAUUCGCAAGAACACCAGUGGCGAAGGCGGCUUACUGGUCCGGUUCUGACGCUGAGGCACGAAAGCGUGGGGAUCAAACAGG
rnacentral:rRNA from 1 species